GAUGAACGCUGGCGGCGUGCCUAAUACAUGCAAGUCGAGCGAACAGACGAGGAGCUUGCUCCUCUGACGUUAUCGGCGGAGGGGUGAUUAACACGUGGAUAACCUACCUAUAAGACUGGGAUAACUUCGGGAAACCGGAGCUAAUACCGGAUAAUAUAUUGAACCGCAUGGUUCAAUAGUGAAAGACGGUUUUGCUGUCAGUUAUAGAUUGAUCCGCCCCGCAUUAGCUAGUUGGUACGGUAACGGCUUACCAAAGCAACACCCACUAGCCGACCUGAGAGGGUGAUCGACCACACUGGAGCUGAGACAGAGUCCAGACUCCUACGGGAUGCAACAGUGUAGCAUCUUCCUCAAUGGACAAAAGCCGAACGUGCCAACGCGUCGUGAGUGAUGAAGGUCUUCUGAUCGUAAAGCUCUGUUAUUAGGGAAUAACUAAUCUGUAAGUAACUAUCCACGUCUUAACGGUACCUAAUCAGAAAGCCACGGCUAACUACGUG
rnacentral:rRNA from 1 species